UGACCGCAGCGCCGUCCGGAAGGGCUGGGGAUCGCCGAUGUGAACCAAGGCGAAGCUUCCCCAUCCCGACUGAGAAACAUCCCAGGCAAGCACGCUGGCAAGCGUUGGCACUGGACCCGCCUCCAUCGGUUGCCUCGGAGCCGAUUACCCCAGAAACACGUUUGAUUCCACACCGGAGGUCGCGCUGGCAGCAGACUGUUCGCACGCGGAGCCGCCCCAGGUUGCUCAGGAUUCCCCGGACGCAGACGUCGAGGAGAACAUGGUAUUCUUUGGAGACACAGGAAGCUGC